GGUGGCGUGCUUAACACAUGCAAGUCGAACGGAAAGGCCCUGCUUUUGUGGGGUGCUCGAGUGGCGAACGGGUGAGUAACACGUGAGUAACCUGCCCUUGACUUUGGGAUAACUUCAGGAAACUGGGGCUAAUACCGGAUAGGAGCUCCUGCUGCAUGGUGGGGGUUGGAAAGUUUCGGCGGUUGGGGAUGGACUCGCGGCUUAUCAGCUUGUUGGUGGGGUAGUGGCUUACCAAGGCUUUGACGGGUAGCCGGCCUGAGAGGGUGACCGGCCACAUUGGGACUGAGAUACGGCCCAGACUCCUACGGGAGGCAGCAGUGGGGAAUAUUGCACAAUGGGCGGAAGCCUGAUGCAGCAACGCCGCGUGCGGGAUGACGGCCUUCGGGUUGUAAACCGCUUUCGCCUGUGACGAAGCGUGAGUGACGGUAAUGGGUAAAGAAGCACCGGCUAACUACGUGCCAGCAGCCGCGGUGAUACGUAGGGUGCGAGCGUUGUCCGGAUUUAUUGGGCGUAAAGGGCUCGUAGGUGGUUGAUCGCGUCGGAAGUGUAAUCUUGGGGCUUAACCCUGAGCGUGCUUUCGAUACGGGUUGACUUGAGGAAGGUAGGGGAGAAUGGAAUUCCUGGUGGAGCGGUGGAAUGCGCAGAUAUCAGGAGGAACACCAGUGGCGAAGGCGGUUCUCUGGGCCUUUCCUGACGCUGAGGAGCGAAAGCGUGGGGAGCGAACAGGCUUAGAUACCCUGGUAGUCCACGCUGUAAACGGUGGGUACUAGGUGUGGGGUCCAUUCCACGGGUUCCGUGCCGUAGCUAACGCUUUAAGUACCCCGCCUGGGGAGUACGGCCGCAAGGCUAAAACUCAAAGGAAUUGACGGGGCCCCGCACAAGCGGCGGAGCAUGCGGAUUAAUUCGAUGCAACGCGUAGAACCUUACCUGGGUUUGACAUGGAUCGGGAGUGCUCAGAGAUGGGUGUGCCUCUUUUGGGGUCGGUUCACAGGUGGUGCAUGGCUGUCGUCAGCUCGUGUCGUGAGAUGUUGGGUUAAGUCCCGCAACGAGCGCAACCCUUGUUCACUGUUGCCAGCACGUUAUGGUGGGGACUCAGUGGAGACCGCCGGGGUCAACUCGGAGGAAGGUGGGGAUGACGUCAAGUCAUCAUGCCCCUUAUGUCCAGGGCUUCACGCAUGCUACAAUGGCUGGUACAGAGAGUGGCGAGCCUGUGAGGGUGAGCGAAUCUCGGAAAGCCGGUCUCAGUUCGGAUUGGGGUCUGCAACUCGACCUCAUGAAGUCGGAGUCGCUAGUAAUCGCAGAUCAGCAACGCUGCGGUGAAUACGUUCCCGGGGCUUGUACACACCGCCCGUCAAGUCAUGAAAGUUGGUAACACCCGAAGCCGGUGGCCUAACCGUUGUGGGGGAGCCGUCGAAGGUGGGACUGGUGAUUAGGAC
rnacentral:rRNA from 1 species